rnacentral:lncRNA from 1 species
ACACAGGGUGGGUGGCUAUUCUCCAGAAAUGUCAGUUUCUGGGCAGGGCUUAGGUGUCUGCAGUCCCUAGUCCCACCCCUGGCCUUGCAUUCCAGCUCAGCGGGUGGAAGGUAUAAAUUUCAGCUGCUCUCAGCCCUGCUGUGUUUUUCCAAAGCCUUCCAACAGCAACAUGAAGUUGGCAGCCUUCCUCCUCCUUGUGAUCCUCAUCAUCUUCAGCCUAGAGGUACAAGAGCUUCAGGCUGCAGGAGACCGGCUUUUGGGUACCUGCGUCGAGCUCUGCACAGGUGACUGGGACUGCAACCCGGGAGACCACUGUGUCAGCAAUGGGUGUGGCCAUGAGUGUGUUGCAGGGUAAGGACAGAUGAAGAGUUAUCUUAAGGAUCAUCUUUCUCUAAGAUCGUCAUCCCUUCCUGGAGUUCCUAUCUUCCAAGAUGUGACUGUCUGGAGUUCCUUGACUAGGAAGAUGGAUGAAAACAGCGAGCCUGUGGAUGGAGACUACAGGGGAUAUGGGAGGCAGGGAAGAGGGGUU